AUUCUGAUUGAACUGUCUGACAAAGGCUAGGGCUAGGGCCUCAGGAAUUGCUAUUCAUCUGUCUUCAAACUUCUACAAUCCACUAGAGAGGUAACUCCCAUUUUCGGUCUUAAACCAGGAAUCCUCAUGCUGUGAAUACUUAGAAUCCCACUCCGCUAAGGGACUGAAGAACAGGGCGGCAGUCAGAGCUGUUGGUUCUGAUACCCUCUCGGAGGCCACAAGCUUUGCUUCGUGAUCCGCUUUGCAAUUUCCCCAGUUGAUCUCCAUCUUCAAAGCAUUAUGAUCAGAGAAUAUGCAUUCCAAAAGUGUACCAAUUCUUCCUGGCUACCAUGGUUUCAAAUGGGUUUCACAGGUUCAAAAAUAAAGAGAAACUGUGCCUCAAGAUGGAUCAUCCCCAGAGCCUCACACACACCUGAUUUAGAUAAUAUAAUUUUAAACUUUUGAACUGGAGCAUCCAGUAUAAUCACAAAGAUCCUUUUAAAUGGAAGGUGAAAGCAGAAUAGAGAAAGAGAUGGAAGCAAGAAAAGUACUCAGUCUGAUGUUGCUGGCUCUGAAGAUGGAAGAAACAGGUCUGGAGCCAAAGAAUGUGGGUGGCCUCUAGAAGAUGGGAAAGGCAUGGAGAACGAUCCCCAUCUGGAACCUCCAGAAGAAAUGCAGCCCUAGUCCUGCUGACACCUUGAGAAAAUUCAGUGAAACCAAUUUCAGACUUCUGAUGUUCGGAACUGGAAGAUAAUAAAUUUGCAUUUUCUUAGGCCACUAAAUUUGUGGUAAUUUAUUAUAGCAGCAAUAGGGAACUAACAUCUUGAUGCAGGACAGGAAAAUUUCUGUUAUGGUGUGAACAAUUCUAAGGCCCACGGAGCCAAUUGAGAUUAAUUAUGAGCCUUUAUUAGCCAGCCGGCGACUGACUCUCUACCACGCAGGGUUAGAGGAGAUCA